GGUCUUCCAAAUCUAAAAAGAUGCCCUAUAAUUGGCCUGCCGGCUUGCCGGCUAUGGCGAUAAACGGAGCGUGGAAUAAGCGUAGCGGACCCGGGGGCAGUACCCGGCGCCUCCACCAAAUUUCCCUAUUAUCUUAAGGGGGCGAAACAGGAUCGACGCGCGUUGUAAAGACGUUACUUUUGCUCGGCAUUGCACCACCGUUAUCGGGCUAAAUAAUAGUUGCAAACGACAACUAUGCGGAGGCACGCCUCGCUGCGUAAGCGGUCAGGUAGCCUUAUUUAAGUCCAUGUGGUUCGCACCGCAUGGCGGGGUUCGGGGUGCACCUGGCAACAGAAGCACCUCAAC
rnacentral:tmRNA from 1 species